GUUCCUUUACUAAAUUGGAGUCCUUACUCGGAUGAGUAUUUUUCAUAUCAUGGCAUGGUUGACAGUGCAAGAUCUUAGAAUGUCAUCUGAAGCUAUUGCGGAUUAUAAAACACCUGAAUUAUGUGAUAUUUUUGAAGCUUUCUUUUUCUCCUCAUCACACACUCAAGCAAUGAAGAUGUUCUGCGUAUAAUAUUUGCCUCACCAACAGCAACUAGAACAUCUAUACUUGAGUUGACCAGAAAAUUGACUAUUAAUGGUGAUUCAGUAAUUAACCACUCAUCCCCUACAUCUAGAUGUUUAAGCCAUGAUAAUUCAGAAGAACAAGACGAUUCAGGCUUAGUCGAUGCGCUUGCUGUUGCAAUAUCUAAUGUGAGGAUUUCCGAACCCAAAAGGAGCAGGCUAUGUGUGCCUACAAGUCCAAUUCGAGAGCAGCGUUCUUCUAAUGUCACAACUAAUAACCUUUGCAAAGCAUGCUGACCGUUGACUUUGACCUGAAUUGACUUUGACUUACAAACGGUGGAGUAACCGUAGAAGCCUAACAAUGCGCCGAGAAAAGGGUGUGAAAAUGGCGUAUAGUGAAUGUAAAUAUAAUA